rnacentral:lncRNA from 1 species
ACACCUACUGGUAUUCGUUUCUCCAAGGGAUUGAAUAUUGAGAUUUCAGAGAACAAAUAGAUUUUAAGCCGGACAUGCACGAAUAAAGCUUGUACUUUCAGAAGCGUAUUUAUGAUGCAGUAAUUUACUGUCAUAUAGUAAUUUUACCUUCCAGCUGAGUUGUAAUAUUGUAAGUAUCCUAAUAAACAACAUUUUAAGUGGUGUCUUUCUUGACAUUAUUGUAAUUGUUGAAGAUGUUAUAAUAGUUGCAGUUUGAGCUUCGACUAAUUGUUUUUCUUCACCAAAAUCAAUACAAUGAUCUUAUUUAUGAGGACAAAUCAAGCCAAGAAUAUGCAGUAAGUAUUGCUCCUUCCAUCUUAUAAAGUUUGCCGCACUUGAAGAAUUGCAAUUUUUAUUAAUAGUGGAUAGAAUUUGAAACUUCAUUUGUAGUUUCUAGCUCAUAAAGAAUUGUGGGGCCAUGAUAUUUGUUUAAUCCUAGGUUUUGUUGAAAAUCUUAGAUAUUUGAAAGUUUUACCAAAUCUUAGAUUGUUGUUGUGGUCUUAAUUACUUGAUAACUGCUACAUACUACAACAGUUGUUGUUUUACUUUCUUGAUAAUAGUAUGUGGACUCAUAAAAAAAAAUACAUGCAUUGAACUUUUACGGAGUGUCUGAGGAGUAGAUGACUAAAUGGAGAAAUUAAAUAGAAAUGUAUCAACUAAUUUAUUGACAAAGAAUGGUAAUCUUAUUCAUUGAAAAACCCAUUGUUUUCUCUUGUACAAUCGAAAGCUUAUAUAUAGAAUUAGUAGCAGACUAUAGGCUAAGUAGUAGACUCCUAGGCGGAUUUGGGGCAGGGACGAUCAUCAGUAUGACCAUCCCUGCACGGUUAAGGGCCAAGAUUUGCCCUCAAAAUUUUGUGCGGCUGAGAUUACACCAUGUAACUCGAUUUCCGCGCCAAGUGUGGGGCCCACCACUAUCUGUUCUGAAAAUACAUCCUGUGAAAAAAAAGUUACAUCGUGUUUAACCAAUGUUACGCGCAGUGCAAAAUGAGGACAACCGGCACAAACAGUUGCAGGUGCAACCGUUUGUGCCCCAUAUCCACUCCUAGGCUGACUACUAUUCUAACUAGUAGACUCCUAGGCUGACUACUAGUCUAAGUAGUAGACCACAAAGACUACAAAGACUAGUUCGGAUGGUAUACGCUAACAGCUCCCCUCAAGCUGGAGUGUGGAGGAACGAAACACCAAGCUUGCGCAACAAUCGUUGAAAAGAACUAAAACCAAGCGCUUUGGUGAACAAGUCAGCAGGUUGAUCCUCUGAAAGAAUGAAAUGGGUACAAAGCUCAUUGGACUGAAUCCGUUCACGAACAAAGUGACAAUCCAUUUCAAUAUAUUUGGUGCGCUCGUGGAAGACAGGAUUAGCAGCAAUAUGGAGUGCAGCUUGGUUGUCACAAAACAGAUGCAUCGGCUGCGAAUGAGGAAUGGUGAGAUCAAAUAAUAAAGCCCGUAACCAUAACAAUUCACUAGUGGUACCAGCCAUGGCACGAUAUUCGGCCUCAGUAGACGAGCGGCUCACAGUAGGUUGUUUCUUAGUACGCCAGGAUAUAGGCGUGUGCCCAAGAGAAAUAUAAUAACCUGUGAUAGAGCGUCGCGUCGUAGGACAUGCACCCCAAUCAGCAUCACAAAAACCCGUGAGUUGCAAAUUGUUCUGAGAAGGAAAAAAUAAUCCCUGGCCUAGAGAAUUCUUAAUAUAUCGAAAAACCUUCAUUGCUGCAUCAUGACGAUCUAAUGUAGGGGAAUGCAUGUACUGACUCAAAAUAUUAACAGCAUACAGAAUAUCUGGACGUGUGAUAGUGAGGUACAAAAGUCGACCCACAAGACGACGAUAAAACGAGGGAUCAGCCAAGGGUGUACUGGUUGAACGCCCCAAUUGAUGUUGUUGAGACAUUGGAAUCAAACUGGGUUUUGCACCACUAAGACCAAUAUCCGUUAAAAUAUCUAGAGCAUAUUUCCGCUGACUCAAAAAAAUUCCUUCAAGAUUCCUAGCAACUUCAAGGCCGAGAAAGAAUUUAAGGGGGCCAAGAUCCUUCAGAUGGAACUGUCCAUGCAAGAAUUGUUUAAAUUUUUGGCAUUGAAAGGAAUCAUUUCCUGUAAUUAUCAUAUCAUCGACAUACACCAAAACUGCAAGAAAACUGGUAUUAGUCUUCAGGGUAAAUAAAGUAGUAUAUGCUUGAGACUGAAUAAAACCAUAUUGUUUGAGGGCAAGAGUUAAUUUAGAAAACCACUCCCUGGAUGCUUGUUUAAGACCAUAGAGAGAUUUACGAAGUCGACAAACCCUCUUGUCACCAGAUGGUAAAUAUCCAGGGGGAGGGAUCAUGUAUAUUUCCUCAUCUAAAUCACCAUGGAGAAAAGCAUUAUUCACAUCAAGUUGAUGUAAUUCCCAACUUUUAGCCGCAGCAACAGCCAUUAGACACCGUACUGUAGUUAGCUUUGCUACAGGAGAGAAUGUUUUAGUGUAAUCCAGUCCCUCCUCUUGAGUAUAUCCUUUGGCCACUAACCGAGCUUUAUAACGCUCCACAGUGCCAUCUGAUUUAUAUUUAAUUUUAUACACCCAUUUACAACCAACUGUUUUCUUUCCUGUCGGCAAGAAUGCAAGAUCCCAUGUAUGAUUUGCAGCUAAGGCAUCAAGUUCAAUUUGCAUGGCAUACCUCCACCUUUCAUCUUGACUAGCCUCAGAGUAAGUAGAAGGCUCAGUCUCGGUUAAUAAAGCCGUAAGAAAAGCUUGAUGGGAUGGAGAAAAGCGAUGAUUGGAGAGAUAAGAAUUAAGAGGAUAGGGAGUACCUGAUGCUCUGGAAGUGGAAACUGAAUUGGAGUGGUAGGAACUAUUAGGGUAAUCACAUACAUAGUCUUUUAGAUAAGCAGGAGGUCUUCGAAUCCGCUGUUCUUGAUGUGGUGGAGAAGUUGGAAUCUCUUCAACACGAUUAUCCGUAGCAGAGAGCUCAUGAUUGGGAAUUGAGGGAAGAGUGGCAUCGGAAUAAUGGAUUUCAGGACCAUAUUGAUCAUCAUCAUCAAGAACGGGUGAGGGAGUGUUAGGUGUUAAGGUGGAAGGCAGCGUCGAAGAUGAUGUGCUAGAAGGAAUUUUGAAGGGAGAAAAGGUUUCAUGAAAGCGUACAUCACGAGAAAAGAAAAAUCUUUUUGUUUCUAAAUCAUAAACUUUGAAACCCUUUUUAUUUUGAGGAUAGCCUACAAACACACAAGGCCUUGACCUGGGUUGAAACUUGUCCAAAAGUUGUAGAGGAUUAACAGCAUAACACAAACAGCCAAAUACUCUAAAAUGAUUAUAUGUUGGUGGCUUGCCAAAAAGUGCUUCAAAAGGGGUUUUACUUCCAAGUGCUGAUGUGGGAAGUCGAUUGAGAAUAUAUGUAGCAGUUAAAACACAUUCUCCCUAGAAUUUAAUGGGCAAGUUACUCUGAAAUCUAAGAGCACGAGCCAUAUUAAGAAUGUCUCUAUGUUUUCUUGCGACAACCCCAUUUUGCUGAGGUGUACCAGCACAAGAAGUUUGAUUAACAAUCCCUUUACUUCUAAAGAAUAAUUUCAUGUCACCUUCAGUGAGUUCUAGUGCAUUAUCGCUUCUGACUUGCUUAAUUUGAAAUCCAAAUUGAGUUUGAAUCAAAGAAUAAAAAUUUUGAAAAACGUGGCAAGCUUCAUUCUUGUGUUUUAAUAAAUAUGUCCAAACUGUUCUCGUACAAUCAUCCACAAGAGUUAAGAAAAAAUGAGCCCCAGAACUUGAAGGUGUUUGAUAGGGUCCCCAUAUAUCGAUAUGAACCAAAUUAAAAGGAGUCACAGAUUUAUGAAUGCUUGAAGAAAAAACUUGUCUAGAAGCCUUUGCCAAAGGACACACAGUGCAUUCUUGGCAAAUUUGAUCAAAACGAAUAUGAGAAAAGUUGGGUAUUGACGCCAACCGGUUGUGUGAAGGAUGUUCGAGCCUUUGAUGCCAGAGAACAGCAGAUCCUGCGACCGUAUUAGCUUUGCCAUGAUGUGGUUCAUCAUAGUCUGUGGUGAAGUAGUAAAGACCGUCCCGUUCCUUACCUACCCCAAUCAGUUUCCUCGAGCGUAGGUCCUGGACAACACAAAAAUCAGGAAAAAAUAAGGCAACACAAUUGUGUUCUUUGGUGAGACGACUGACAGAAAUAAGAUUACAAUGAAAACUCGGAGCAUGCAAAAUGUUAUGCAAAGUAAUCAGGGAGUUCAAAUGAUGACUACCAUAUUCGCAGAGUUGUUUCACAGUGACAUCAGGUAGAAAUAUAUUAGCAAAUUUUUUUGAUUUAACUAGGUCAAACAAAAAAGUUUUAUCACUUAUAAAGUGAUGAGUAGCACCUGUGUCUAGUAACCAAGUGCAACAAGAGGACGAGGAAUUUGGAGUUAAAGGAUGGGUUACGUUACCAGCAAAAUUAACCGAGCCAGAGCCAGAGCCAGAGUUUUUGUCACUAUUCAACAAUGACAAAAGUUGUUCAUACUGUGUGGCUGUCAAACCAUUAACCGAAGUAGUGGAAAUUGAAGAAUUUGUUGUAUCAUUCGAGCACACAUUUGCAGCGGUAGGAUUUUUCCUUGAAGGCUGCCAAUUAUUUGGAUACCCUAUAAGCUCCCAACACCUAUCUAUGGUGUGGCCAGCCUUAUUACAAUGAUCACAUCGUAAUUUGGGCUGUUUCGAAGAUUGAUUUCCAUUCUGACGUGGCUGGCCUUGCUGUCGCCAAACAUGAAGCCUCGCAGAACCGUAUUGAGAUGUUUGCUGUUUAACAGAACUAGAUCGUGGCUGCUGCUGCUGCCGAACAUAGAAGGCUCCUGCCCUAUCAGAGCCUUGUGGGCCAAGAAGACUCAGUUGUUUCUCUUCCGUCUUAACCAUGUUGAAUAUACGAUUAAGUGAAGGGAAAGGCUCAGUUGCCAGUAUUUGAGAUCGAAUGGUUUUAAAUUUUUCAUCCAAUCCCAUAAAAAAUUGGUGUGAGCGCUCUUUGUCCCUUUCAGCUAGCCAUUCUUUCAAUCCCCCACAUGAGCAAUUUGGAGGUUUUGAAUAGGCACUCAACUCAUCGCAUAAGGCCUUAAGUUUGGAGUAGAAAGUGGUCACCGAUGCUGUUCCUUGAGUAGACAAAGCAAUGUCCUUUCUUAUUUCAUAAAUUCUGGGUUCAUUGCUUUGACCAAAACGUUUUUCCAAAUCCACCCAAAGUUCCCUAGCCGAGUCAUGAUAAGUGAUUCAAUCAUGCAGAUCCGGACUAAUUGAAUUGAUAAGCCAGGAAAGAACAAGCCCAUCACAUUAACUCCAAAACAAUGCUUCACGGCUUCCAACUUCUGGUUGCGGCAAUUCUCUAUUCACAAAUGGAAUUUUAUUUUUGCUUCUCAAAGAAUUCAAAAUAUUUCGUUUCCACCGUUGAUAAUUGUCACUGUCAGGCAACGUUGGGACUAACGAAGCAUUGGUGUAAUCGGCAGAGGUCAAAAAAUAUGGCGAGCUUGGAUCACGGAACAAAUCACCAGUCGAGGAAACUCCUGGAUUCUGUGAAUUGAUUUGCUCCACCAUUAUUCCAAGACGUAACAAGAAGAGACAAAAAAAAGGUCAAAAUAUAGAGAGUAGAGCAAGAAGGAUAGCUCUUACGCUUUGCACUGAUCAGUCAUGGACUGAUCAGUCAUGGACAGCGCUUACGAGAAGGUUAUCCGAGAAGGUUGAGAAGCUUGGAAGAAUAACGAAACAAAGAGAUUCUGCCAUAGAAGCUGCAAAAGCCAUUCAAGGUUUCUUACAGCAGAAUGAAGUUUUCCCUCGUGAAAAUAGCUUUGCCUGCUCUGAUACCAUGACAAAGAAUGGUAAUCUUAUUCAUUGAAAAAUCCAUUGUUUUCUCUUGUACAAUCGGAAGCUUAUAUAUAGAAUUAAUAGCAGACUAUAGGCUAAGUAAUAGACUUCUAGGCUGACGCUAUUCUAAGUAGUAGACUCCUAGGCUGACUACUAGUCUAAGUAGUAGACCACAAAGACCACAAACACUACAAAGACUAGUUCGGAUGGUAUACGCUAACAUUUAUAUAAAUGACAAAUAAUUUGGAACAAUCCAACAAAGAAAAUACGGCAAUAUCAAUGGGAUGGAGGGGGAAUUUCUAUGGCCUGACCCUAUUUAUCAAGGAAUUGUAUACGGUAAGAAUGGUAUCGGCCUUCCCACCGUAGGAAUGUCAAUCUGGUGCCAUUUAAGCACAACACGUAGCUGAAUUCUGGAAGGCACCAGACAACUAACAAAGCGCAUCAGUUAAGACCAUGCAUGUGUUGCUCCCAAAACUCUGACGUGGUUUUUCUUCUCACUUCCCCACAGCCACAAACACCAAAGCAAACUCCGGUAAGUUCAUGCACAGAAGGUGCGCCUUUGCCUCAGCAGUUAACAAAAAAAGAAUAAAUCCAUCUUUUACUUGUAGGUGGAGAUACUGGCCUGAAGAUUAUACUUCUCUUCCCUCUAAAUUAGGAUAAAUUAAAUUAUAAAAAUAUUAUUACCGUAAAAAAAAAUUGAUGUACAACGGGUGCUGGUGAAAUUACUGAUGCAUCUAUUUUUUAAAAAAACAUGAAUGACCUCAAAAUCACCAAAAUCUAACUAUUUUUUGCCUGUAUUAAGAACAUGCUUCCAAGUCUCCAUCAAAGAACUUUCAAGCUCUACAGAAGUAAUUGACAUAAAAAAAAAGAAUAAAAAUAAACUCUUGGGCCACAUCUCAUAAUUUAGUGGAGACGAAGUUGGGGUAGUCAUAAUUUACCACACUACAAUUGGCCCCUUUAGUAGAUCUAAUCCAGGACGACGAAUUACGAAAACAACUUGCAUUUUGGACUCCUCUGAAUGAGUGUAAGAGUCUUUUAUAGGAAUAGCAUCUGUGAAAGUAUAGAAGUGAAGUU